UUGAGCGUCAUUUCAACCCUCAAGCCUAGCUUGGUAUUGGGUGUUACCGGGCAAUGGUACACCUUAAAAUCAGUAGCAGCGCCAUCUGGCUUCAAGCAUAGUAAAACUUUUGCUUUGGAGUUUGGAUAUGUGUUUGCGAUCAACCCCCUAAUUUAUCAAAGGUUGACCUCAGAUCAGGUAGGGAUACCCGCUGAACUUAA
rnacentral:misc_RNA from 1 species